AAUUUCUGCAGCCAGAAUGUUUCUUAAAAACUUUUCAAGUUGUGUCACUGCUCUGAUCAGAAGGUAACAAUGACCUCUCACCUUGUUUACAUUAAAAGAUCUGGAAGACCCUAUAUGAUCUUAUUCUUAGUAUCUUCUAUGACCUUUAUUUUUUGUCUUCUCUCUUUGGUUUUUUUUUUUUUUUCAAAUCCUCUCCCUAUUCCCACCACUGACCUUCACAUAGGGUCCAUGUCAGUUGUUUUCCUCCUUGUGUUCAUGUGAUCCCGUCAUUUGGCUCUCACUUAUAAGAGAAAACAUGCGGUAUUUGGUUUUUGGUUUCUGUUUUAGUUUGCUAACGAUAAUGGCCUCAGUCUCCAUCAGUGUUCCUAGAAAGGGCAUGAUCUUAUUUUUUUUUUAUGGCUGCAUAGUGUUCUAUGGUGUAUAUGUAUCAUAUUUUCUUUAUCCGGUCUGCUACUGAUGGGCAUUUAGGUUGAUUCCAUGUCUUUGCUAUGGUUAAUAGUGUUGCAGUGAACACACCUGUGCAUGUGCCUGUAUGGUAGAAUGAUUUAUAUUGCUGAGUCAAAUGCUAUUUCUGAUUUAGUUAUUUAGGAAUCACCACACCACUUUCCACAAUAAUUGAACCAAUUUAUGCUCCCACCAGUAGUGUAUAAAAGGGGUCCUUUUUCUCCACAACCUUUUCAUCAUCUGUUAUUUGUUUGACUUUUUCAUAAUAGCCAUUCUGACUGGUGUCAGAUAGUAUCCACUGUGGCUUUGAUUUGCAUUUCUCUAAUAAUCAGUGAUAUUAAACUUUUAAUUAUGUACUUGUUGUUUAUUGCCUGAUUGUGUUGGGGCUACUUGGCCUGGCUUUCUUGAUGUUCUCUUAACCUUAUAAAAUAUUAUAAGGUAUGCCAUGCAAAAUGCCAGAAAUGCAUGAAUGACCACCAGCAGUACUAAAAGUGUUUAAAAGAGCAAUAGCCAGGCCAUUCAUAAUCCCAACUAAAAUCUCCAAAAACAUUAAUUCAAGAACUUUGAGAACAGAGGGAGACUAAGCGAACCUGAAGUAGGAUUCGACUGAUCAAAAGGCAAGAAUUUGAUUCUUGAUUUUGAAUCUUGGCUCUGAAUACAAGUUAUUUUAUCACUUUUAGAAAAUGCCAAUGUUUUUAGACCUCAGUGUCGUCACCUAAUAAACAGAAGUAAUCUUAUAUGUAAUUAAUCAACUCAUAGGGAUAAUGAUUAGAAAAUAAAGAUUUGUACAUUCUCUGUUGAGUGGAAGUGGAAUUAUCAUAAAAGUGACAUAAUGCCUUGGUAUCAACAUAUUAACAAUACAUAUAUUAAUUAAUGUUACAUAUGGAUUAUAUAGUAUUCAAUAUACAUUUUGCUAAAUAAUUAUAAUUUAUGUAAUGGUUAUAACAAAAUAUACAUUUUAGCUAUAGGUGCUUGGACAUGAAAGUUUUGAUCUCAAAGAACAGAGCCAGUGUAAAAAAAGGCUAAUAGGAAAACAGAUAAAACUAGAAUGAGAAAGGUAACCACAAGGAUGUGUUUAACAGGAAACCCUGUCACAUGUUCUGGAUUUCUCACUGACCUAACUUUGUGUAAAAAAGCUAAUCUCUUCUUCCACAUUUCUGCAUUUUUAGUCAUUAUUAAUAUAUUAUUGCUUAUCUAGACCUAAUUUUCAUCAUUUGUAAAAUAUAGGCAAUUGGAUUAGUAUCUUAGAUCCUGUAUAUUUAUAAGAAACUCUAAUCUUACAAAAUGUUUGGGAAAUCAAAAGAUUCUUUGUUAAAUAGUUUGGGAAACACUUAUAAUACACACCUAUAUUGAAGCUAUAUAAUGUAUAUUUACAUUGACAUACUAAUAGAAGUGAGAAUAACUGAAGUAAGGAAACCUAUUUGUGUUUUCUUAACCUAGCUCUUAAUAAAGUGACACUUACCAAGCUUUUAACCCCACCCUAGCUUUUCCUCUUAGUAUUUUAGUGCAAAGUCAGCCAGCACCUGCCUUCCUUUGCCUGAUGGCUUUCUUUGGCCUUAUCUCCAGUGUUUUGCAUGCUAGUAAGUGGGCCAGAAAUGCAGAGGAAUUAACCCCAAAGCCCACCCCCAGCAUCCCUUUACAGGAGUUGCUGUGCUGAUAUAUUUGAGAUCCUUCAUGUACUGAAAGGCGUGCAUGACACUGGCUUCUAGAGAUUCCCCAAGAAAUAAGCUUCAAUUACCCUAACUGAAAUUUGGGGCCAUAAUGUAUUCUUUAGGUGGAUAUUCCUUCCUCAUCUGUUCUUUCUGAUUUUACCCCCCAAAUGAGUGAUUUCCACUCAAUGUUGGCUUAUGGUGGGGUGGGAGUAGCAUCAAAUUUAAGACACAUAUUUGGAAAGUAGUUGGAUACACUAUUUUAGUGUUCCACAUUCAAUGACCCAAAUAUAUUAAGAGAUUAUUUCUGACAGUUUCAGGGCACAAGUCUCCAGUACCUGUCUUCUAUGAGUCACUUCAUAAAUGCUUGCUGAAUAAAUUAAUUUCAGCAAGGGGCAAUCCCAAUAACUUUUCUUGACAAAGGAAAAAGCAUAAACUCAGAGGAGAGCAAUUUUAACUUUCCUAUCUCUUGAGAGACUUAAUGGACAUAUAGGCUGUGUCCUGUUUGUUCCUGUCUCUUUGAUUGGCCAAUAUUGCUUUGCCUCUUAGUAUCUACCAUCUCAGUUGCCUCCAGGGAUGCAGUGUCUCAAUGCUCUUUCUUCCCUCUCCACAUUUUCAGUUUGAAGAAUACAUAAGAAGCUUUCAGUUUCUCUGUGUCUUUGCAAUUCAUUUUUAAAAAUUGGAGGUAAAGGCUCUCAUUAAAUCCAAUUGAGAGCCUAUCCUUUGCACCAUGAUGUGUAUACACACACACACACACACACACACACUUUCAUUAAAUCUUCAAAGAAGUAAUGUUGUUAGUUCAUUUGGAAAUAUUUUGGCAGAUUUAAAAAAAAAUGGACUCAGAGCUUUUAACUAAUUCUUCCCAAACUCAUACAACUAUUUAGUGGCAGAGACAGAUUUCCAAAUGGACAUAAAGGACCCCAAAGUUCAUCUCUUACUCUCAAUACUAUUUGCCUCCUAUAGGUUAUUUAGCUCUUUUAUUAUUGUUUUUAAGUAGCAUUUAUUAGUGUAAAUUUAAUAUAAAAAUUUGUAAGAGCAAAAAUGACUCACAUUUAUAUUGUCCCAUAUAGCUU
ensembl:lncRNA